rnacentral:rRNA from 1 species
GGGACACGUGGUAUCCUGUCUGAAUAUGGGGGGACCAUCCUCCAAGGCUAAAUACUCCUGACUGACCGAUAGUGAACCAGUACCGUGAGGGAAAGGCGAAAAGAACCCCGGCGAGGGGAGUGAAAAAGAACCUGAAACCGUGUACGUACAAGCAGUGGGAGCCUCUUAAUGGGGUGACUGCGUACCUUUUGUAUAAUGGGUCAGCGACUUAUAUUCUGUAGCAAGGUUAACCGAAUAGGGGAGCCGAAGGGAAACCGAGUCUUAACUGGGCGUUAAGUUGCAGGGUAUAGACCCGAAACCCGGUGAUCUAGCCAUGGGCAGGUUGAAGGUUGGGUAACACUAACUGGAGGACCGAACCGACUAAUGUUGAAAAAUUAGCGGAUGACUUGUGGCUGGGGGUGAAAGGCCAAUCAAACCGGGAGAUAGCUGGUUCUCCCCGAAAGCUAUUUAGGUAGCGCCUCGUGAAUUCAUCUCCGGGGGUAGAGCACUGUUUCGGCAAGGGGGUCAUCCCGACUUACCAACCCGAUGCAAACUGCGAAUACCGGAGAAUGUUAUCACGGGAGACACACGGCGGGUGCUAACGUCCGUCGUGAAGAGGGAAACAACCCAGACCGCCAGCUAAGGUCCCAAAGUCAUGGUUAAGUGGGAAACGAUGUGGGAAGGCCCAGACAGCCAGGAUGUUGGCUUAGAAGCAGCCAUCAUUUAAAGAAAGCGUAAUAGCUCACUGGUCGAGUCGGCCUGCGCGGAAGAUGUAACGGGGCUAAACCAUGCACCGAAGCUGCGGCAGCGACACUAUGUGUUGUUGGGUAGGGGAGCGUUCUGUAAGCCUGUGAAGGUGGCCUGUGAGGGUUGCUGGAGGUAUCAGAAGUGCGAAUGCUGACAUAAGUAACGAUAAAGCGGGUGAAAAGCCCGCUCGCCGGAAGACCAAGGGUUCCUGUCCAACGUUAAUCGGGGCAGGGUGAGUCGACCCCUAAGGCGAGGCCGAAAGGCGUAGUCGAUGGGAAACAGGUUAAUAUUCCUGUACUUGGUGUUACUGCGAAGGGGGGACGGAGAAGGCUAUGUUGGCCGGGCGACGGUUGUCCCGGUU